UCAAAUAUGUUUCAUUCAUGUACGGCAGUCGAAUUUACGAUUCCGCUCGUAUUUAUUGUGUUACAGUGGCAAUAAGUGUAACUUAUCUGUAAUUAGCUGAAAAAGUGCAUGUAAAUAUGCUGAAGGCCGCGCUCGAUACGUUUUGGAGCGAAAAUGUUUGGUUGCCGCCAAACACAACAUGGGAUGACAUUGCGCCAAGCCCCGAAAAGGCAGUAGUGUACACCGAUUCCAAUCACGUUUUUUACCCAAUACCGUUAGCACUUGUGUUUAUAACGGUCAGAUAUGUGUUGGAAAAAUAUGUAUUCGCGCCAUUCGGCAGAUCGCUCGGCAUCAAAGAGACGAGAGUCAGGAAGACGCCCAGCUAUCCAAAGUUGGAAGCGGCGUAUCAGAAGUCAGCCAACCGGAUAAAAGAUAUAACAGCCUUGGCGAAAUCAUCAGAUCUCACCGAGAGGCAAGUGGAGAGAUGGUUCCGCCUCCGCCGCAGUCAGAACAAGCCGUCGACCCUGGUCAAGUUCUGCGAGAACGCUUGGAAAUGCACGUUCUACGUGUGUAACUUCUCCUUUGGGUUAUACGUAUUAUGGGACAAGGAGUGGUUGUGGGACAUUGACCAGUGCUAUAUCGGAUACCCACAUCAGGGUGUAACCAACGACGUGUGGUGGUACUACACCAUCUCCUCGGCGUUCUACUGGUCCCUGACCAUAUCCCAGUUCUGGGAUGUGCGCCGCAAGGACUUCUGGCAGAUGUUUGUGCAUCACAUUGCGACGAUAGCGUUGCUCUCAUUCAGCUGGGUGUGUAACUUGCAUCGCGUCGGCACCCUAGUUCUUCUGUUGCACGACUGCGCUGACAUAUUUGUUGAGUCAGUGAAAGCGGCCAAGUACGCGAACUACCAGAAGCUGUGCGACACCCUGUUCCUGUUUCUGAUCGUCGUUUGGAUCAGCACUAGAGUGGGGAUCUAUCCCUUCUACAUCAUUUGGAGCACAUCGAUCCGGGCGCCGAUGCUGCUGCCGAUGUUCCCCGCGUACUACAUCUUCAACUCGCUGCUGUGCCUGCUGCUGCUGCUGCACGUGGUGUGGACGUGGCUCAUACUGCAGAUAGCUUACAACACUGUGCGGGCGGGGCAGGUGAGAUCUACAUAUAUAUAUAUAUAUAUAUAUAUAUAUACUACAUCUUCAACUCGCUGCUGUGCCUGCUGCUGCUGCUGCACGUGGUGUGGACGUGGCUCAUACUGCAGAUAGCUUACAACACUGUGCGGGCGGGGCAGAUGGAAGGCGACAUUCGGAGUUCUAGUUCGGAGUGGAGCGACAGCCCGCAGGACUCCAACCACGUCACUCCCAACCACAACGACGCUAACAAUAAAAAGUCAAAAUAAAGACGCCAUGUAACGUACGUGGCGCUUUUUUUAAACACUACCAGUGAAAAUCUACAGUGUGCCCUACUGUCAGGAUAUAUUUUUAGAAAUUUCUACAUAAGUACAAGUAAAGACUAGUGAAAAUUGGCCGAGUCAAGUCUUUCGUAACCUUUUUUUUUAUUUUCACUAAAAAUUAACUGUAUUUCAAUUGUAAUCGUUUUAUGACAAUUAUUUCUCUGUUUUUUUUUUUCUUUUUGGUUAAUAUUUAAAGUCAAGGUUAGAAAAAGCGAACUUGGCGAAAAGAAAAAUCUGUAAAUUAAUUAGUAUAUGAUAUUUUGUUUUUUUUUGGUAGAGGAUUGAUUCCAGGCAUAUUCAAAUACAUUAAUUGAUGUUUUAAGAUAUUGUUGGUUUAGUUAGAGUAACUGCCAAAUAUGGAUGAUUGUAGCGUAAUUUUUUUUUGUUAUUAUAUUAAUAUAUAUAAUACGGAAGAAAUUACACUGAUUAAGUUAGCCUCAAAGUAAGUUCGAGACGUUGUUAACGAUAUUUUAUAAUAUUUAAUACAUAAAAAUGCGUACAGCGGAACGUGGCCUUUUGGUCUUUUUACUUGUUGGCUCUGUCUACCUCGCAAGGGAUGUAGACGUGACUAGAUGUAUGUUCAUAUACAUACAAGACCCGGGCCAAUCACAAAAAGUUUGUUCUCCAUUGUGCCCUAGCCGGGAUUCGAACCCAAAACCUGUGUCACAGACAAGCGCACUCUUGUUACGCUAUAAAGGUCUAAUAUAACAUGAUAUACAGAUUUUAUUCCUUAUCUGUAUUUGAUAUAAACUUAUCAGCUAACCAAAACGUGUAUAAACAAUAAUAUUUUCAAAAAGAUUUCGCUUAAAUAUGUAUUGACCCCUUACUUGGCAGUAUUCAGCUCUAUAUGGCAAAAUUGUAACAUAUAAAAUAAAUUUAAAUAUUUUAACGACAACUAAGGGAUAGGCUAGUAAACUUGGGAUUCUUCUUGUGGGUGACGGGCAAGCAACCUGUCACUAUUUGAAUUCUUGGUCUUUCGGCCUUUUUAAGACGGUUGGUUCUGUGCCAUCCCGUAAGGGAUGUAGACGUGAUAAUAUGUAUGUUUGUAUGUUAGCUUUUUAAAGAUUAGGCAAAACGAUAUUUGAGAUUUCAUAGAAAUGAACACAAUGAGGCCAACAAUGUUUUUCAUUUUAGUCACAAAAAAGUGAUAUGCUUUUGUAUAAAUAUAUUCGUAUUUUCUUAAUAGGAACUGGGACUACUUUCAUAAGAUACGUGUAAAUUGAGUACAAAUAUUUUAAUGGUCGAUAGAGUUCAGUGGUCUACAACCACUUCAAAUUCAAGUGAGUGGUUAAAUACCAUUAAGGGUCGCAGUGUCUACACCAGCGACAUUAUGCUGAGUCAGGACGUUUUCACUGAUCUUCUUUAUUUUAUUUAUUUAUUUAUGUACACUGAAAACAUCGAGAAUGAUAAACACAAGAAACAAAAUUACAUAUGUUCUGCUUAUUACAAAAGAAAUCUCUUCCAGCAGAACCGAGAUUGUUUGUGGUAAGCAUAUAUACAUGAACAUUGCACAUUCACCAUUGUUAUUACUGUUAAUUAUGUAUGUAAUCAACAAUUGUAAUGUGUUAGUGAAUAAUUUGUUAUUUUUUUUCUAUCAAUAUAAAUUAAAUUCCUAAAUCGGAAUUUGUACUUAAUUUGCACGUACCUUAGAUUAUAUUGAAUAAUGUUGUUAAUGUUAGUAUUUAUGCACCAAAUAAUUUUCUUAGUUUAGUUUUUACUAUUGUUUUUCAUCAAAAACAGUCAAUUUUAAAAUGUAUCGAAAUGUACAGUCUGCUUCAUAGAAAUGUGUACCAUUUUAAUAUGUGCCCGCCCGGCACGUGUCAAUAUGAAUAUUUUUUAUUAGAAAUUUGAGUUAAAAUCUCAAUCUACCUGAUGGCAAGCAAGAUAGGUCUAAGGUUAAAAUUUGGCAAGCAUAUGGCAACAUUUGGAUAUUCAAUUUAUUAGAAAUUAAAUUUUCACUUAUAAUACAUAGGGUUUAUUUUUAAGUUUAUCAUCUCUGGAUACUAAAAUGUUGUAAAUAAUGCAAGAAUAAUGCGUGUUAAAAAUAUAGAAAGAAUAAAAAAGAAAAAAAAAAAAAGAAAUAGAAAGGUUAAUUGCAAUUUCCUUCCCGAAAGAAAUGAGAGUGAGUGAGUCAUUUAAUUAGAAUGGAAUUG